AGAAAAGGCAAAAUUUUAAUACUUUGUUGAAGCACAUUGGAAAUGUCUCUUCUAAAGGGGAGCACAGGACAUGUGACUAACCAGAAUCCUGAAACUGUUGUGCCUGAAUGGAGUAAACUAAAUGUCAGAAGCAAGUAGUUCUGAGCAGUGCAAGGGGCGGCCUGUGGUGGCUGUUGUUGGCAUCCUUCUUGUUCUCCAGCGGCUCCACAUUCUCAGCCUCAGCUCCUUCAUCUCCCUCUGACUUCAAAGGAAUCUCUGCAUGAAGAGGGAGGAUGCACAAUAGAAGAAUUGGCCCGAUUAUCCCCUUCUGUUUGGAAAUGGUUGAAGAUUACAGAUAUGUUUUACUUCUUCCUGUGCUUUGGACUAUAUAAUGUCAAUUACCUCAAGCAAAACCCCCUACCCUGGCUAGUAUAUAGAUUUGGAUUAUACCAAAAUUGCCUAAAAUUGGAAACAAGACAUUAAUAAUAAUCUGUAAUGGUGUAAUAUAAUAGAAUACAUGUUUAUUUUCAUUGGCUUUAGCUGAUAUAAAAAAGGUAAAUUAGAGAUUUAAAUUUUAUAUUUAUUAUAUCCUGACCUUUUUGCUCAUCCUCCACCACUUUAUAUUAUGAAUGAGGUAAUUAAAAAGAGUCCACUU
rnacentral:antisense_RNA from 1 species